GAUGAAGAACGUAGCGAAAUGCGAUAAGUAAUGUGAAUUGCAGAAUUCAGUGAAUCAUCGAAUCUUUGAACGCACCUUGCACCCUUUGGCAUUCCGAAGGGUAUGCUCGUUUGAGUGUCAUUGUACUCUCACACUACUGAUCCUUUGGAUUGGGAGCGGUGGACUUGGGUGUUGCUGCUUUACUGUGGCUCACCUCAAAUGCAUUCGUGCAACUCUUGGUUGGACAUAGUACGGCGUGAUAAGUAUCUUCGCCGGCACCUCGCAAGAGGGUGGCUGAUCAGGAGCUCUGUGCUUUCCAACUGUCUUCAGACAACAACUGACAACUUGACCUCAAAUCGAGUAGGACCACCCGCUGAACUUAAGCAUAUCAAUAAGCGGAGGA
rnacentral:misc_RNA from 1 species